GAUGAACGCUGGCGGCGUGCCUAAUACAUGCAAGUCGAACGCUGAAGGAAGGAGCUUGCUCUUUCCGGAUGAGUUGCGAACGGGUGAGUAACGCGUAGGUAACCUGCCUGGUAGCGGGGGAUAACUAUUGGAAACGAUAGCUAAUACCGCAUAACAGUAGAUGUUGCAUGAUAUCUACUUAAAAGGUGCAAUUGCACCACUACCAGAUGGACCUGCGUUGUAUUAGCUAGUUGGUGAGGUAACGGCUCACCAAGGCGACGAUACAUAGCCGACCUGAGAGGGUGAUCGGCCACACUGGGACUGAGACACGGCCCAGACUCCUACGGGAGGCAGCAGUAGGGAAUCUUCGGCAAUGGACGGAAGUCUGACCGAGCAACGCCGCGUGAGUGAAGAAGGUUGUCGGAUCGUAAAGCUCGGUUGUAAGAGAAGAACGAGUGUGAGAGUGGAAAGUUCACACUGUGACGGUAUCUUACCAGAAAGGGACGGCUAACUACGUG
rnacentral:rRNA from 1 species